rnacentral:rRNA from 1 species
GUGGGGAAUAUUGGACAAUGGGCGAAAGCCUGAUCCAGCCAUGCCGCGUGAGUGAUGAAGGCCCUAGGGUUGUAAAGCUCUUUUACCCGGGAAGAUAAUGACGGUACCGGGAGAAUAAGCCCCGGCUAACUUCGUGCCAGCAGCCGCGGUAAUACGAAGGGGGCUAGCGUUGUUCGGAAUCACUGGGCGUAAAGCGCACGUAGGCGGGUCGUUAAGUCAGGGGUGAAAUCCCGGAGCUCAACUCCGGAACUGCCUUUGAUACUGGCGAUCUAGAGAUCGGAAGAGGGGAGUGGAAUUCCGGGUGUAGAGGUGAAGUUCGUAGAUAUUGGGAAGAACACCAGUGGCGAAGGCGGCUCACUGGUCCGAUACUGACGCUGAGGUGCGAAAGCGUGGGGAGCAAACAGGAUUAGAUACCCGGGUAGUCC